GUGAGUAGCACUGUAUCGAUCAAAGUCUUGAUAGAAGUAUCAUGAAUAGAAAGCAUACUUUGGAUGAGAACAGGAUGGGGAGAGCACUGGGUUCAUCUAGGUGGUACACACAACCUUAUGCUACAGGCUUGGCCACGUCCUUUGAUCUUUGGGGUAGUUUUUAAAAAAAUGUUGGGUUCUUCCGCACCUAUAGCAGGCGUAAUUGAUAUGCCGAUAGGGUAGGUCACCAUGCAAGCGACCACAAUGUUGACAGGGUUGGGUAGGUCAAGCAGGCUGACCUGUAGGUGGAGAUAAGACAAGGGAAAUGGAAACUCUAUUUUGUUUAUCGGGGUGGCUACUUACUAGGUUAGGCAAUCUCCUUCUAAGCUGUUGGGGUUGUUGUUGUUG
rnacentral:lncRNA from 1 species